rnacentral:antisense_RNA from 1 species
CUUCAACGACCCCAGCCACAGCGGUCUUUCCGCGUCCCGGACCUGCCCGUACGUGGCGAGCAGCGCCUCCGCCUC